GGGGAAUUAGCUCAGCUGGGAGAGCGCCUGCCUUGCACGCAGGAGGUCAGGGGUUCGAAUCCCCUAUUCUCCA
rnacentral:tRNA from 1 species